rnacentral:rRNA from 1 species
UACGAGGGGGGCGAGCGUUGUUCGGAAUUAUUGGGCGUAAAGGGUGCGUAGGCGGUUUGGUAAGUCUUAUGUGAAAUCUACAGGCUCAACUUGUAGUCUGCAUGAGAAACUGCUGGGCUUGAGUAUGGGAGAGGUGAGUGGAAUUCCUGGUGUAGCGGUGAAAUGCGUAGAUAUCAGGAGGAACACCUGUGGCGAAAGCGGCUCACUGGACCAUAACUGACGCUGAUGCACGAAAGCUAGGGGAGCAAACAGG